rnacentral:rRNA from 1 species
UGUGUGGUAUAUAUAAAAAGGCUCAAGAUUAGCCAYGCAUGUCUAAGUAUAAGCAAUUUAUACCGUGAAACUGCGAACGGCUCAUUUAAAUCAGUUAUCGUUUAUUUGAUAGUACCUUACUACUUGGAUAACCGUGGUAAUUCUAGAGCUAAUACAUGCUAAAAACCCCAACUUCGGGAGGGGUGUAUUUAUUAGAUAAAAAACCAAUGCCCUUCGGGGCUCUCUGGUGAUUCAUAAUAACUUCUCAGAUCGCAUGGCCUUGCGCCGGCGACGGUUCAUUCAAAUUUCUGCCCUAUCAACUUUCGAUGGUAAGGUAUUGGCUUACCAUGGUUUCAACGGGUAACGGGGAAUUAGGGUUCGAUUCCGGAGAGGGAGCCUGAGAAACGGCUACCACAUCCAAGGAAGGCAGCAGGCGCGCAAAUUACCCAAUCCCAAUACGGGGAGGUAGUGACAAUAAAUACUGAUACAGGGCUCUUUAGGGUCUUGUAAUUGGAAUGAGUACAAUUUAAACCUCUUAACGAGGAACAAUUGGAGGGCAAGUCUGGUGCCAGCAGCCGCGGUAAUUCCAGCUCCAAUAGCGUAUAUUAAAGUUGUUGCAGUUAAAAAGCUCGUAGUUGAACCUUUGGCCUGGCUGGCGGGUCCGCCUCACCGCGUGCACUCGUCCGGCCGGGCCUUUUCUUCUGGAGAACCGCAUGCCCUUCACUGGGUGUGUUGGGGACCAGGACUUUUACUUUGAAUAAAUCAGAGUGUUCAAAGCAGGCAUUUGCUCGAAUACGUUAGCAUGGAAUAAUAGAAUAGGACGUGCGGUCUUAUUUUGUUGGUUUCUAAGACCGCCGUAAUGAUUAAUAGGGACAGUCGGGGGCAUCAGUAUUCAAUUGUCAGAGGUGAAAUUCUUGGAUUUAUUGAAGACUAACUACUGCGAAAGCAUUUGCCAAGGAUGUUUUCAUUAAUCAGUGAACGAAAGUUAGGGGAUCGAAGACGAUCAGAUACCGUCGUAGUCUUAACCAUAAACUAUGCCGACUAGGGAUCGGGGCGGUGUUAUUAUUUUGACUCGCUCGGCACCUUACGAGAAAUCAAAGUGUUUGGGUUCUGGGGGGGGAGUAUGCCSYCGCAAGGCUGAACUAGU